rnacentral:rRNA from 1 species
GGCGGCGUGCUUAACACAUGCAAGUCAAGGGGGCCCAGCAAUGGGCAACCGGCGAACGGGUGCGUAACACGUGAGCAACCUACCGAACUGUGGGGGAUAGCCGGCCUAACGGCCGAGUAAUACCGCAUACGCUUUCAAUGAGGCAUUUCAUUGAAAGGAAACCUACGGGACAGAUCGAGGGGCUCGCGGCCUAUCAGCUAGUUGGCGAGGUAACGGCUCACCAAGGCAACGACGGGUAGCUGGUCUGAGAGGAUGGCCAGCCACAUUGGGACUGAGAUACGGCCCAGACUCCUACGGGAGGCAGCAGUGGGGAAUCUUGCGCAAUGGCCUAACGGCUGACGCAGCGACGCCGCGUGUGGGAUGAAGCUCCUCGGAGUGUAAACCACUGUUGCCCGGGACGAAUAGCUCGAUUAGUCGAGCCUGACGGUACCGGGUGAGGAAGCACCGGCUAACUCCGUGCCAGCAGCCGCGGUAAUACGGGGGGUGCGAGCGU